rnacentral:rRNA from 1 species
CCUACGGGAGGCAGCAGUGGGGAAUAUUGCACAAUGGACGAAAGUCUGACGGAGCAACGCCGCGUGAGCGAAGAAGGUCUUCGGAUCGUAAAGCUCUGUUGUUAGGGAAGAACAAGUACGGGAGGAAAUGACCGUACCUUGACGGUACCUAACGAGGAAGCCACGGCUAACUACGUGCCAGCAGCCGCGGUAAUACGUAGGUGGCAAGCGUUGUCCGGAAUUAUUGGGCGUAAAGCGCGCGCAGGCGGUAGGGCAAGUCAGAUGUGAAAGCCCGGGGCUCAACCCCGGGAUUGCAUUUGAAACUGUCUUACUAGAGUGCAGGAGAGGAAAGCGGAAUUCCUAGUGUAGCGGUGAAAUGCGUAGAUAUUAGGAAGAACACCAGUGGCGAAGGCGGCUCUCUGGACUGUAACUGACGCUGAGGCACGAAAGCGUGGGGAGCGAACAGGAUUAGAUACCCCUGUAGUC